UACGAAGGGGGCUAGCGUUGCUCGGAAUGACUGGGCGUAAAGGGCGCGUAGGCGGCGCAUCAAGUCGGGCGUGAAAGCCCCGGGCUCAACCCGGGAACUGCGUCCGGGACUGGUGCGCUGGAGUUCGGGAGAGGAGAGUGGAAUUCCCAGUGUAGAGGUGAAAUUCGUAGAUAUUGGGAAGAACACCGAUGGCGAAGGCAGCUCUCUGGACCGACACUGACGCUGAGGCGCGAAAGCGUGGGGAGCAAAC
rnacentral:rRNA from 1 species